rnacentral:misc_RNA from 1 species
AAGUCGUAACAAGGUUUCCGUAGGUGAACCUGCGGAAGGAUCAUUAACACUAUUAAUUAGUAUCCAAAACCUUUUGGAUCAACCAACAACUCAGCGAACCAAUUGCUCUUAUUUUCCCUUUUUAUUUUCAAUAACUACAAUCUGAUUAUCUUUGUGUCUGAUUCAUUUUUUUUCUGAUUGAGGAAACUCAACCCGAAAAAACAAAAAUCUAAACGCAAUACAACUCUUAACAACGGAUAUCUUGGCUCUC